UAGGGAAUAUUAGAAAUGGACGAAAGUCUGAUCUAGCAACACCGCGUGUGCGAAGAAGGCCUUCGGGUUGUAAAGCACUUUUUGGAAGGAUUAGGAAGGAAUGUACUUCCAGAAUAAGUCUCGGCUAACUACGUGCCAGCAGCCGCGGUAAUACGUAGGGGGCAAACGUUAUCCGGAUUUACUGGGCGUAAAGCGCGUGUAGGUGGUUUGGUAAGUAGGGCGUGAAAGCUCCUGGCUCAACUGGGAGAGGCCGUUCUAAACUACAGAACUAGAGGAUGGUAGAGGGAGGUGGAAUUCCAGGUGUAGCGGUGGAAUGCGCAGAUAUCUGGGGGAACACCAGUGGCGAAGGCGGCCUCCUGGACCAUUCCUGACACUCAGACGCGAAAGCUAGGGUAGCAAACG
rnacentral:rRNA from 1 species